rnacentral:tRNA from 1 species
GGUGAAGUGACCGAGGGGCUUAUGGUGCUCCCCUGCUAAGGGAGUGUGCGUCUAGUCGCACCGAGGGUUCAAAUCCCUCCUUCACCGCCA